GCCCCCGUAGCUCAAUCGGACAGAGCGGCUGCCUUCUAAGCAGUUGGCUGCAGGUUCGAGUCCUGCCGGGGGCA
rnacentral:tRNA from 1 species